rnacentral:rRNA from 1 species
UACAGAGGGUGCAAGCGUUGUUCGGAAUUAUUGGGCGUAAAGGGAGUGUAGGCGGUUUGGAAAGUCUUCUGUGAAAGCUACGGGCUCAGCCUGUAAAGUGCAGAGGAAACUACCUGACUAGAGUGUCGGAGAGGACAGGGGAAUACCCGGUGUAGAGGUGAAAUUCGUAGAGAUCGGGUGGAACACCAGUGGCGAAGGCGCCUGUCUGGCUGACAACUGACGCUGAGACUCGAAAGCAUGGGGAGCAAACAGG